rnacentral:lncRNA from 1 species
UACGGUUUUCUUGUACAUUUUAAAAAAUUCAAGGUAGUUAUUUAAUUUAUAUAAGGCUGUUCAUGUUUGAUUUUUAAAGAUUAAGACUUUCCAUUCUAAAAGACCGAUACAUUGACAGAUGGAUAGGUAGAUAGAUAGACAGACAGAUACACACACACAAAGAAAAACAAUAAUUAGCAAAAUUUACUUCUCAGUGAAUAGAAUUUUUAAAAUUGGGUCUUUUAACCUUUUUGUCUGUGACAUAUAAAAACUUUGCUCUUUGAUAUAAAAUCUUGAUUUUUCAGAGAUAUAGAAAUAAAAAUAAAAAAGCCUAAAUAACACAACACAACAUUCUAAAUCAACUAUACUCCAAUAAAACUUUUAAAAAAUUAAAAAGCCUAUUGCUAUAGGUUAAUCAAUUGAAAUAGAAAGCCAUAAAGAGAGCUAUCCUAGUUCCAUUUAUCAGGUGGAUCAGAGUGUGCAAAUGACUCAGCUGUCUCCUUGGCAAAAUGGCAUUAAUGAUAUUUAUUUCAUGACAUUAUUCUAUGGAUCAAACAAAAUUAUGAAUUGAGAAGUGCCUUGUAAACUCUAAGGCAUUAAAUAAAACUAAGAUGUUUUUCAAUAAUAAUUUUAUCUAGCUGAGGAAUUAUGAUUUAUGCAAGAUAUCAUUCCCAACAGUGAGUUUGAUGUCUAAGCGCGGGACCACUUCAGAACCAUAUAUUUAACCUAUAGGAAGUAGAGUGUCUUUCUGGUCCCCUCUCAGAUUAGCAACCUGCAAGAAAAGGAUCUACAGUUAGAGCCAUGCUAUAUUAGGUGGACAGUGUAAUCACUAGGACAAUUCUUAACACAAAGAAAGUGGAAAUAUGAAUCUGAAGAGGGGAAAUAUCAAAGGUACUCUUUAUCAAAAGUGAAACUUUGAAAUCCAUCUAUUUAAGGUUAAUCACUAUUCUUUUAGUUAAGCUGUUGUCAUCUCUAACUUUCCCUGAGUAGAAAAUAAUCUACACUUCCAACUAAGUUAUUCAUGGUCCAAUUUGUUCUCAGAAUACUAUAAUAGGCUUUGUGAAGAUAAGUUUUAUAAUAGGGAUUUAACAUAGUGAGAAGCUAAGACACAGAGGCCUUCAAACACAAAGAGUAUAUAUGUAUAUAAACUGCUCAGUCCCCUCCUCCUCUUCUUCCACCCUCCCUUGUCCCCUCUCCCGAAAGGACAUUCACCCCUAUUUAAAAUCUAACUUUUACAAAGGAUUCAGAUGAAAUGUCAUCUCAACAACUCCACAGUACAAUUGGUUUAUCUACUGCAGCGUUGCUUCAGUGCCAUUUCAACAGUGCUGGGAAAUGGGGGAAACUGCGUAAAGUACCACUGGAAGCAGGAAUGCUGUGAAAGGUUUUGAGAAAGAAACAUUCAAAAUCUUCCCUCUCGGCAGUUCCGCCUUGCUUGAUGACCACAUUUACAUACUGAGUACAUGCUCAAAGGGAACUCUACUUUACUGGAGAAAAUAAAACUUUCAGUUUGGCAUCUUGGGGAGGGGGCAAGGGAGAAGAAGAAGGAAGAGGAGAAUCACUGAUGAUUUACACACAUUAUUACUAUUAUACUUUGCAAGCUUCUGAUAUCUUAAACUAUUGAAAAUACUUAAAGUUGAUUUGGAGACACUAUUAAUUUAUUGCUUUUUCCUCUUUAGCUCUAUAAGAUCUUAUUUCCUCUAUUUAUAAUGUUUAUCUCAUUGUAUCCAAAUGAGUGCCUAUUUGUUUUACAAAGUAGAAAGGCACUUAAAGUGAAGCGCAAGUUUAUCUUCAUUCCAGACUUUUUUUUUAAGAUUCCAUAUUUUCCCAUUUUAAACAUUUCAAGACAGAAGCACAUGAAAUGUAAUAUUUACAAUACUUGAAACUCUUUAUCUAUUAAUGUAUUUUAAUAACUAGCUUCUCUUUUCCCUACAUGUUACAUCCCUGCUGAACCUAUUUUGUUGCAAGUCAGGCUAUCUUAUUUGCAUAUUUGUAACAAAGUAUAUAAAAGGAUGAAGAUGUGUAGUUCAUUGAGUUUUUAUAUUCAACACUUUUUUUAUUUAAAAAAUCUUACAAAACACGUAGAAUUAUAUAACAAAUAUACAUAUUAAAUAUUUUAAGCAAAGAAAAAUUUAAUUGUUUUUUAAUGUGCUUUUAAUGAUUUCUAGCACUCACACCUCCUUCCUUGCUUUCCAAACUGUUUAUACUGUCCCCAAUAACACUCAGUGGAAAGCUGUCAUUCCUGGCUAAAUCCUUACUUAGGGUGGAUGCUAUGCCUCCGUGAGACAGGGUCAGGGGGUCAAAAUCGAUUUUAGAGGCCACCUGGAGAGUCCAGGCCAUGAACUGACUCAAAAAAUUUAUAUCAGAGCCGGAAUAGUCCACCUCCCAGGGUCAGAUCUGGCCUGACACUCCAACCGCAGGCUGGGGCAUGCUAGACCGAGCUCAGAGAGAGGCCAGAGUUGUUGACCCUGCUAGCUGACCUCUUCAAACUUCAGGAGAAUUUUUUUGGCAGUUACCACGGUGACUGGGUACUCUAAAAGCUUAUCCUUCUUACUGAAAGGAGGAAAAAAAAAUUAGGAAAAAAUAUGUUAAAACCUACCUUGCAGAGAUGCCUAUCACAGUUAAAGUUUAAAAGGGGGGGGGGGAGAAAUUGAAGGAGCUCUAAAUUGUCUAUGACUUUUAUAUUAAUUUCCACUGCUGUUCCUAACAAAAUUGGAAUUUGUAAGUUCUUUCAAAAAAGCAAAAUUUCACAUUUGGAGCAGAUACUACUUUAAAAAAUUAAUAGCUGACAACAAUUUGAAUAAUGUAUUAAAAUACUUUUUCAACAAUGUAAUGUACUUGGAAUAUUCUAAUAUCUCUAUGAUUUUCUUUGAGAAUCAGCUUUGAAAUAAGAUCUAUCAUAAAUGCUAAUCUAAAAUAGUGUAACUAAAUUACCAUUUUUGCAUCAAAAACACAUGCAAUUUUUUUUUCUGGGAGAAAAGUAUCCAUUUUUGCUUGACUUGAAAUAAUAAAGUUAGAAGAAAAGCAAGAGGUCAUUAUUACAUGUUUCUAAAUUUUUUUACCAAGUGACUUAGUAAAAUAAUAUGUACAUUAAAAACAAUAUCAUGAAGAUACACUUAACAAAAGAAAGCUGAGAGGAAAAAAUUCAAGGUGCAACUUUUUUUAGAGCAAUUUAAAGCUUCAAAAAAAAAAAAAAAAGCCACAGAAUAUUUUUCUGUUAAUACCAAAUGCUAUCUUUUGAAUUUUGGUGACAGAUUGUAAUACAAAAUACUUUUAAAUGGCUCCUGUAUAUGACUUGAAAUUAGAUGAGAAUCAUAAUAAUUUAGAAGUCAAAUAUUCUUUAAUCAUAUUAAUACUUGCUUUAAAAAAAUGCCUGUGUAACGUAUAACCUUUUGUAAAGUUAAAUCUCUGACUUGUAGUGUUGUUACUACUCUGGCCCUCCCUGAAUUUUCUCAUCUACUUCUUACAUGACCCAGGCCCUGGAAGUCUUGAAAGGACCUUAUACAGAGUGUGUGUGUGUGUGUGUGUGUGUGUGUGUGUGUGUGUGUUGGCUAUAUAACAAAACAAUGUCUUUGGUCUAAAUAUCAUUUCUCAUCUUGACUCUAAGCCAAGUAAGGAAAAAUGAUGAAUUACAGAAAUGUAGUAACUGACACUCCAAAAAUGAAUACUGAAAUUUCAGAGGAAUGUUUUAAACUAAUCUUGAAUGUUCACUUUGCUGUGACCUAUUUUCACUGCUUUGUAAUCACCACUAAAUUCCUAGAACAGAAUGGACACAAAACCAAGUAUCUGUUAAUUAAUCUUAAUUUAAAAAUAUAUAUAUAUAAUUCAGAAUUUAAUUUCCUUUCUUGUCUUGUGUUCAAAACACCCAGUGAAAGGAAAGACUGGCAAUAUAUUUCGAGAUGAUUUUGUCAUGUGAUCCAACUGCACUUUACUAAAACACAGGUCUUUCAAUUAGAGAGUGUGGUGCUUGCUAUUGCAGAGUGGGCAAUGAGGUUGGUGAGUCACUACAACUCUGGUGCCAGCUCAUUCUCUAUGAUGAACUCAGACUGUCCUUCCCAGCCGGGAACUCUUGGCAAGCUUCCUUAAAGACCCGGAGGCUGGCAAAGCAUGAAGAACUAUCAAACAGGAAAUGAGGUCCUCCUCAGGUUUUGAAAAGAGAUGAUAGAAGACUUAAAGUGAAGCAAGCCAGGCCAGAAUCUUCCUAAACCACAAGCCUUAUCUUGAGUGAAACAUUAUUUCUAAGUUGGAUCUGAAAAGGAAAAGAAGUUAAAGUGUAAGACAAUGGACCAUUUGUACUCAGGAAAACAGUGCCAAGUCUUAGUUUGGUUUCCUCAAGUCAAAGUUAAUAUCUCUCCCAAGAAAAAACCAAAAAUCAUUUGUUGGUUUUCUGCAUAAAUUUCUACUAAAAUGACAAUGAGAUAAAUAGAUAUUUUAUUCAGUAACUCAUAGACUUGGAUUUUCUCUUAUGUUGAAAAUUCACCAAUUUGUCAUUAGAACUACAGGAUUCAGGAACUGGGAGGGAUUUAAGAGAUUAUCUAGUCCUACCUCUUUACCAUAUGCAAAAUCUGAAGCCAGGAACCUGAACUGCUGUCUUACAUACACAUUAUUAGUUACAUGCCUCAACUGGAAUUUAGAUCCUAUUUGGCAUUUCUACCCUGGUGUGUUCUCCACUGCAAUGAGCAGCCUCUUCACUGACAGAAAGGAUACUGAAAGCCCAUACCAGGAGACAUAUUCAGAGCCCUUGGAGACAGAGUUAUUCUGGGGCCAUGGUAUAAAACAAUUGUAAAGCUCAUUCAGGUUACACUUCCAGGAGACAGUUUUAGGUACCACACAAGCAGAAAUUCUGCAAAAUCAGGUAGUGAAAAAAUCCAGUAAUAUGUACUAUAGGAAGCUUCAAAAUUCCCAGGAACUUAUUAUAUCUGAUGGUAACAAAGGUGUGUUGUUUAUAUUAUUUCUCCAGCCAAUUGUUUUUAUUGACUGUUUUGGCUAAUAGGCACUGAUUGAUUUUCUUUUAAUUGGUACAGAGUCUCCACUCUGCCAGGUUUAUAAUUAAAUAUUGAAAAGCAAGGGUUUGGGUGUUAGUCUAAGCUUCCAGUGGUAUGAAAGUUUGUCCAAACAAUGCCUGCCAGUCCAUAGGGGCUUAGUCUGGUCUUUCUUCAAUAUUUCUCUAAUUUACUUCAGUUUUAACUUGUUUCUUUCUUCUCUUUUUUUUUUUUUUUUGGUCUUUUUGCCUUUUCUAUGGCUGCUCCGGGGCAUAUGGAGAUUCCCAAGCUAGGGGUCUAAUCGGAGCUGCAGCCACCGGCCUACACCACAGCUCACAGCAACGCCGGAUCCUUAACCCACUGAGCAAGGCCAGGGAUCAAACCCACAACCUCAUGGUUACUAGUCGGAUUCGUUAACCACUGCGCCACGAAGGGAACUGCAGUUUUAACUUGUUUCUAUUAGGAUCAGUGGAUCCUAAAGUGAAGUAAAAAGAAGCCUAUAGAAAAAUGUGGAAUUCAUUGCUGAUACCCCAAACUGCCACUUGUCAACAGCUGUAACAUUUACUCUCUAUACCAUGUAUUUUCAGUGCAGUCCCCCAAUUUCCCUUCUAACUUGUCAUGGCAUUUGGGAGAACUCAGGAUUAAUUCUGAGAAUCUGGCUCAGGGCCCCAGAACGGAAAAGAGUAAGGAAUAAUAAUUUAAAGGGAGGAAAAAAGGUACUAGGUAUACUGAGGGGUCAGUGGUUUUUAUAGGGAAAAAGGUUGGUGUUUAGGAAAACAGUUUUGUGUGAUUAAGAGGUGAUGGCAAUAGGAGUCAGGUAAUCCUUAGGUCCAUCUAGAAUU